UACAGAGGUCCCAAGCGUUGUUCGGAUUCAUUGGGCGUAAAGGGUGCGUAGGCGGCGCGGUAAGUCGGGUGUGAAAUCUCGGGGCUUAACUCCGAAACUGCAUUCGAUACUGCCGUGCUUGAGGACUGGAGAGGAGACUGGAAUUUACGGUGCAGCAGUGAAAUGCGUAGAUAUCGUAAGGAAGGCCGGUGGCGAAAGCGAGCCUCUGGACAGUUACUGACGCUGAUGCACGAAGGCCAGGGGAGCAAACGGG
rnacentral:rRNA from 1 species